CCCUUAGAUGUCCUGGGCUGCACGCGCGCUACACUGAUGCGCUCAACGAGUUUACGAUCUUGCCUGAAAUGGCUGGGUAAUCUUUUUAAAACGCAUCGUGACGGGGAUAGAUUAUUGCAAUUAUUAAUCUUCAACGAGGAAUGCCUAGUAGGCGCAAGUCAUCAGCUUGCGUCGAUUACGUCCCUGCCCUUUGUACACACCGCCCGUCGCUCCUACCGAUUGGGUGUGCUGGUGAAAUGUUCGGAUCGGCCGUUUGUCGCGGUUUCCGCGGCUCGUGGCUGAGAAGUUCAUUAAACCCUCCCACCUAGAGGAAGGAGAAGUCGUAACA
rnacentral:rRNA from 1 species